CGACGUCCGUCGCCUCCCACAAGCGAGGUCCGCUACCUCCGGCGAGCGAGGUCUGUCUCCUCGCGCCAACGCCCUGGCCGCCUCCGGCGAGUGACGCCCUAACCUCCGCCUCCGCCCUAGCCUCUGACACCUCCGACGAGCGAGGUUCGCCGUUGCCCACGAGCGACGUCCGUCACCUCCCACGAGCGAGGUCCGCUACCUCCGACGAGCGAGGUCUGUCUCCUCGCGCCGACGCCGACGCUGCCUCCGACGAGCGACGCCCUAGCCUCCGCCUCCGCCCUAGCCCCCAACGCCCAUGCCGAAGACGCCUCCGACGAAGCCCGACGCCGACGCCGACGACGCCUACGACGAGCGAGGUCCGCUGCCUCCGACGAGCGAGGUCCGUCUCCUCGCGUCAACGCCGACCCCUAGCCUUCGACGAGCGACGCCCUAGACGCCGACGCCGAUGCCGACGACACCUCCGACGAAGCCCGACGCCGACGCCCUAGCCUCAGACGCCAACCCACAAGAGUUCAAUUUCCAAACUCAUUGAGGUUUCAUGAGUUCACGCCUUCUGAAUGUUCGCUGAAUAGUGGGCAGGCCGUGCAUUUUCUUUCUAAGCGCAUCGUGCCUCUAAACCAAGCCCGCGGGUUUUUCCAUUGGAGGAGGGCAUCCCUUUAAGUGUGGGCUUAAACUCUUAGUGGCACAUCAAUCUGCCUGGAAAAUACUCUGCCUCAAUCUGCAAGAACAGAAUUCUCUAAAAGCAGAGGUUCUGGUAUGGAAUUUGAGUCGGAUUGGACAAAGCACCGAAAGACCUCAGCAUAUGCUGCAUUUGCAAUCUGUUCCGCCACAUCUUUCAUGCCUUGGUCCUAUAAAAUUCCUAUAGCUGAAGGUUACUGUGAAUUUCUCUAAUUAGAAGCCUUCCUAUCGAGUUAGCUCGUCCUUGGGGAGGUCAAUCCAGAGACGGACUGGCUUGCUGCGCCGGAAUAUAACAUCAUUCAGAAGACCAUCCCAAAGGAUAUUGAUGCUUCGUUUCUUGGUUUCUUACACUUUUGGCAGAUUCACGAGUCUGGAUUCAUGUUACUUCAAAUAUUCUGUUAAAUUAGAUACGUCAGGAGUGGUCCAAAAUGAAGCAUCAAUACCUGUCCGGGAAUUCUUCUGUGAACGAUCAAUUUUGUCAUUUUAUCACCUUUAGUGUUUUUAUGCUUCUGUCUUUAAAAAAGCAUAGGAUUUAAUAGUUUGGAUGACUUUUCCUUUGAGCAGGUUGCACAAUUGGAGGACGUAAUAGCAGAAAGAGGAGCUUGUGGAGUUGGGUUUAUUGCCCCGACCUCCGCCGUUGCCUCCGCCCGCCCAAGAGCAGCUGGGUCCCAAGCUCGUUCGCAAUCUCCACCACCAGUCAAACUCACUCUCUCCCUCGCUGAAGUUCCUUCUUGAACGCAUGAUGAAGCAGCUCGCGCGGAGCGAAUGAUUUGCAGGUCGUUUCGCCUCUGGAAUUCGUGCUCCGAGCUUCGGAUGGUGAAUUGAUGUAUCCGUUUCUUCCAUGGUGGUGGUGCUGAUCUAGGUCCUCUUCCGCUGCUGCAUCGGACCUCGGGAAUGGAGGUCGUGGUUCACUAGGGAAUCGGAGGAGGAUCUGCUGGCUGUAUUGAUGAAGCUAAGAGAUGAGUAUAACUACUGCCUCUUCUGUGGAUGUUGGGAGGUCUCUAAGUCAAUGAAGUCGCCACUAUGCAGCUGAUCUAUUGCAGGUAGUCUAUAGCGACGUCUAUAUGCUUGUGGUAUGAAAUGGAUGGUGAUCGGUAAGCUUCCUUACCGCGUCAAAACCGCAAUCGCAAGCUUUUGUGACGGCUGGUUGUACUUUACAUCGGGGUAGCGGGAUCGAGGGCCAGAUAAUCCGCAACCUAAGAUGGUCAUUGGAGACAUGUGGAGGACCAAAUUGAGACUCUGAUGCGAGUUACGUGAAGUCGACCGGAUGAAGCAUUGUCUUAGCUUAGAUUUUUUUUCUUCUUUUUCACUCACAUUUUCUCUAGUACAGCAAUAGUGUCCUGCAAUUACAUAUAAAUUAACAAAAGUAGAUCCACAGCUGCAUAUUGUCCAAUGAUAAUGGAGAUGGACAUUACAUGUCCAAAGAGAAGUCUCUCUUCAAUCAGCCAUGGAAAUGUUUCAAA